CGUACACUCCUGCGGGAGGCAGCAGUGGGGAAUAUUGGACAAUGGGCGCAAGCCUGAUCCAGCCAUGCCGCGUGAGUGAUGAAGGCCCUAGGGUUGUAAAGCUCUUUCACCGGUGAAGAUAAUGACGGUAACCGGAGAAGAAGCCCCGGCUAACUUCGUGCCAGCAGCCGCGGUAAUACGAAGGGGGCUAGCGUUGUUCGGAUUUACUGGGCGUAAAGCGCACGUAGGCGGACUAUUAAGUCAGGGGUGAAAUCCCGGGGCUCAACCCCGGAACUGCCUUUGAUACUGGUAGUCUUGAGUUCGAGAGAGGUGAGUGGAAUUCCGAGUGUAGAGGUGAAAUUCGUAGAUAUUCGGAGGAACACCAGUGGCGAAGGCGGCUCACUGGCUCGAUACUGACGCUGAGGUGCGAAAGCGUGGGGAGCAAACAGGAUUAGAAACCCCGGUAGUCCC
rnacentral:rRNA from 1 species